rnacentral:lncRNA from 1 species
CUGAGGGGGAAUAUCGGCUACUGCCAAGGGCACCUACACGUUGGCCCUGUUCUGGUCUCUAGGAUUUGUCCUGAUUCAAAGGAAUGUAAGCAAAUUCCCCAGUGAAUCACAGAAGUGAGAGGCAGAGGAUGAGAGGCCAUGUGUCCCUUUCUACCCAUGUGCCACUUACUCCCUGUGCUGACUAGUCUCACAGCCGUGGGUUUCUGUUAUAGGGCCAGACACUGACCCUGCAGGGAAUAUCCUUCAGGGUUUCUCCUGCGGAAAACAGGACAGCGGACUGACUGGGAGAAGUAGUCAUCACCAAAACUGCCAGCAGUUUGUGGUCAGAAAUCGCCAGCCAGCCCUCACCAGGUCACACUUCUGCAGCCCCCCCUACCCCAGCACAACAGCAGGAGCUAUGCAGUCAGCCUCACAGCAGUGA